AGGGUUUGUUUGUUUUU
rnacentral:miRNA from 1 species